rnacentral:ncRNA from 1 species
UCAACGACUUGGAAUGGGAAGAGUAGGGCAGUGAACCCUUCAGAGAGCGGAACCCACACGCUGAAAGAUUCCGCAGGAUGUUAGCUGGCCGAAGUCGCCCGGGAGUCGUCCGUUUGAGCGGAGAUAGCCGUUAGAACGGACCGGUAGCAGCCGUUAUCUGCUUGAGUGUCGCGGAGUCAACUUUUUUGCCGGAUCAAUGGGGCCGGCGAAGGAAGGCUGAAUGCCGCGAAACAAAGGUGGUACCGCGAAAGUAAAGCCUUUCGUCCUUUGA